UAGGGAAUAUUGGACAAUGGGGGCAACCCUGAUCCAGCCAUGCCGCGUGAGUGAAGAAGGCCCUCGGGUUGCAAAGCUCUUUUGUCCGGAAAGAAAAGCAUUCGGUGAAUACCCGGAUGUUCUGACGGUACCGGAAGAAUAAGCACCGGCUAACUUCGUGCCAGCAGCCGCGGUAAUACGAAGGGUGCAAGCGUUACUCGGAAUUACUGGGCGUAAAGCGUGCGUAGGUGGUUGUUUAAGUCUGAUGUGAAAGCCCUGGGCUCAACCUGGGAAUGUCAUUGGAAACUGGGCAGCUAGAGUGCGGUAGAGGGUAGUGGAAUUCCCGGUGUAGCAGUGAAAUGCGUAGAGAUCGGGAGGAACAUCUGUGGCGAAGGCGACUGCCUGGACCAGCACUGACACUGAGGCACGAAAGCGUGGGGAGCAAACA
rnacentral:rRNA from 1 species